rnacentral:rRNA from 1 species
CCUGCCCAGUGACUAGUUCAACGGCCGCGGUAUCCUAACCGUGCAAAGGUAGCAUAAUCACUUGCCCAUUAAUUGUGGGCUAGAAUGAAAGGACCAACGAAAUAAAAUCUGUCUCUGUAAACCCAAUAAAAAUCAAUCUCUAACUGAAGAGUGUUAGAUAUAGUCGAAGGACAAGAAGACCCUAUAGAGCUUAAUUAUAACAAAGACACAAAUCUUUACUAAAAUUCGGUUGGGGCGACCAGGGAAAUAACUUAUCAUCCCUCUAAAAAAGAUUAAUACAUCUUAUAAAGACCCUUUAUAAAAGAUCAACAAAACAAGCUACCUUAGGGAUAACAGGCUAAUCCUGCUAAAGAGUCCUUAUUGAUAGCAGGGGUUGGCACCUCGAUGUUGGCUUAGGGAAACUGUGGGGCGCAAAAGUCCCACAAAGAUGGUUUGUUCAACCAAUAAAACCCUACAUGAGCUGAGUUCAGACCGGCGUAAGCCAGGUUAGUUUCUAUCCUCGAUAAUCAUAACCUGUCCAUAGUACGAAAGGACCUGAACAGGAUAAUUAUUAUAAUCAAAGAUAAAGUAUAACAUUAAUAAUUAAACUAAAAUAAUAUACACACUA